UACGUAGGGUGCAAGCGUUGUCCGGAAUUAUUGGGCGUAAAGAGCUCGUAGGCGGUUUGUCGCGUCUGCUGUGAAAACCCGAGGCUCAACCUCGGGCCUGCAGUGGGUACGGGCAGACUAGAGUGCGGUAGGGGAGAUUGGAAUUCCUGGUGUAGCGGUGGAAUGCGCAGAUAUCAGGAGGAACACCAAUGGCGAAGGCGCUCAUCUGGCCCAAUACUGACGCUGAUGCGCGAAAGCUAGGGGAGCAAACGGG
rnacentral:rRNA from 1 species